GACGAACGCUGGCGGCGUGCUUAACACAUGCAAGUCGAACGGAAAGGCCCUGCUUUUGUGGGGUGCUCGAGUGGCGAACGGGUGAGUAACACGUGAGUAACCUGCCCUUGACUUUGGGAUAACUUCAGGAAACUGGGGCUAAUACCGGAUAGGAGCUCCGGCUGCAUGGUGGGGGUUGGAAAGUUUCGGCGGUUGGGGAUGGACUCGCGGCUUAUCAGCUUGUUGGUGGGGUAGUGGCUUACCAAGGCUUUGACGGGUAGCCGGCCUGAGAGGGUGACCGGCCACAUUGGGACUGAGAUACGGCCCAGACUCCUACGGGAGGCAGCAGUGGGGAAUAUUGCACAAUGGGCGGAAGCCUGAUGCAGCAACGCCGCGUGCGGGAUGACGGCCUUCGGGUUGUAAACCGCUUUCGCCUGUGACGAAGCGUGAGUGACGGUAAUGGGUAAAGAAGCACCGGCUAACUACGUG
rnacentral:rRNA from 1 species